rnacentral:rRNA from 1 species
UACGUCUGCUACGACGAGGAGCCACGUACGGACCGACUCUAAAAGAAACCGGGGCGACCGUUUCGGCCUCGGCAUGUUUGGUAGUAUAAGCAACGCUAAUCAACGCUAAUUAAAGAGCGAGUGAGAUCGUUCGGCUGUACGUACUAAUAUUGCAAAAAAUAAAAGACUACAUCAUUUUACACACUGUGACGAUCCGGUGGUUUAAUAUUUACUUUAGAUAUAAACGAAUACAGACGUUUCAAAGGAAAGCCACACCUUAAAUACAAACCUAAGACGGGCAUCGAAAUGGUAAAAACAAAUACUAAAAGAAUCCCACAUACAUAAGUAGGAGCAUGAUGAGUAGUCAACUAAUCUAUAUACCUGCGCACGUAGCGCGCGUUAAUUUGAUGAUACGUCGUUGCUGCAGCAGUGUCGAGUUCUUCUUAAUGGCGCGCGCCUCCUAGUUGUUCUUGCGGUCGGUGCCUUUGUCUUCUCCUCGAUCGGUACCGCAGGAGGAGGGCGAGGGUGGUUCUUCGCCUCCUGCCCCUCGAGCUACCGCUGGCGUAGUGGAGGGGUGAGGACGGCAGCAGCUGCAGGGCGUCGAGCGGCCUCGCCCUGCUCCUCCUCCUCCCCCUCUUGAGCGGCUAGCUCGUCCACCGCGACUGCCACGGCCACCCGCUGCUGGGCCUGUGCGGCCACGACUGCAAGGCCUACACCCAGGAGCCGCAGGAGAGGACGCGGCACGAGAGGAAGGAGUUGGUCAAGAAGACCAUGGCGUUCCUCGGCGAGUGGCAGUGCCGGUAGAGGCGGGUCCAGCGGCAGCACGGCGAGCCUGCCGAGUACCGCCGGCGCGACGGCCUCGCGCGGAAGAAGGCGCCGUCCGGCAUACUCAAGUGGGAGUUGGGCCCGGGGAAGUUGCACUUCCUCGUGCACGACUAGUGUUAGAAGCGGUUGCGGCCGCGGCCGUGGCAGAUGCGGUAGGUGCAGCAGUGGCGGCAGGCGCAGAAGAUGCCGUUCUUAGAUAGGAAGAAGCAGAGGGAGGAGCACCACGAGUGGUGGGUCCACGAGCCCAAGCCCACCCGCCCGUAUAAGGCCGCCAUGGAGCACCUCGGCCGCUCGUACACCACCGGGAGGUUGGAGCACGUCCAGAGGGAGAAGUCCCGCGAGGUGCUCUUUCUUCCCGCGGCUUUUCCACCGAAGUGCACGUUGGUCAAGAAAGAC